rnacentral:tRNA from 1 species
GGAGAGAUGGCCGAGUGUUGAAGGCGUAGCAUUGGAACUGCUAUGUAGACUUUUGUUUACCGAGGGUUCGAAUCCCUC